CAGCUUUCGCUCCACGGGUACCGCUGUAACCGUGCCGACAUCUCAGUGCCGGAACCGGCGUCGGGCGGUGACUGCGGGAGUGCCUGGGCCCGGCUGCGGGCGGUCCGAGUCCUUGUCAGCCUCCUGCCCGGGCCUGGGGAUUCACCCCGUGCAGCAGCAAACUUGCCAUUCAUUGCCUUUGAAUGAACGCUCUGCUAUACCGCGGUCUGCCAACACACGGAGAUAAAUCCCCAGUGAAAACAGCUUGGUAGCCAUCAAUAGGGACGAGGGUGCCGAGUUCAGUGCCUAAAGCAGCAUUCCUGCAUCGGCAAAUUUAACCUUCAAGCACCGCUUCCGCACCUCGUGCACUUGCAUUGAUUCUGCCUUUUGUCUGCCGUGUCUGUCGCAGCGCACAGACGCUGGUCAGGGCAGAGCCUGGCUGCUGUUUAGUGUGUCUGCCCAGUAUUUACACAACACCGGGCACACCUGCUGCUUUCACAUUAUUAAAAUAUUCAGUAAUACAGAUAAGACCAACGGGCAAAACUAAAUUGAAAUAAUUAGGUUUAUGCAUUUGCCUUAGCAGUGGCAGCUGACUACUUGUGUUCCUUGAAAGUGAAAUUUAUGGAACACGAAUUUAGUAAUUUUAUUUAGCAGUUCCGGCUCAUUUUUUAAAGGAUUGUGUCUACAACCAAGCUGUUUACCCAUCCUCUGGAAAUGGGUUUGGACUGUCACAUCACUGCCUUCCCUUUGGCUUACACGUACAGAAGCAAAGAACAAAGAAUUGUUGAAGUGUCUUUGGAAGAAUGCCAGGUAUGGAAACAUAACCUCUAAUCUUUGACAUGAUUCCAGCAGGAAGAGUGAACAAAUUUAGCUCAUAUUGAAAAAUCCCUGUAAACAGAUGGACAAUGUGGAGAGAAAGAUACUUAUCAGUUUCUGAAACUGGAAAGAUUUUUCUUUGUUUCUUCUAUAUAUCAACAAAUUAUGCUAUCACAUUGAAGGAAUGGUUUGAGAGUUAUUAGAUUUUCAGAAAAUUAAAUAUAUGAAUUAGAUAGGAGUGAUAUAUCUCACUGUCAAAUAAUGGUCUGUGAUAGUGAAUAUGUACUGGAUUUUCACUGCUCUAAUAUUAAGUGAUGUCUCAAAACAGUAAUUGGAAAUACUUUCCAUGGAAGAUAAAAUCCUAGCUGAAACCUGAUUUCUUUCUUUGCCUUGCAAUGUAAUAUCAGGACCAUGGGAAUUUGGGACUUUUAAAAAUAUUAUUUCAUGGUAAAUAUAUGUUUCCAUCUAGUCAAAGAUCACAGGGAAUAUAAGUAUUAUAUUUAGUGUAUUGUAUGUUAAUGUAUAUAGCUAUGUAUACAUAUAUAACACCAACAUAUGCUCUGCACUAAAAAAAAAAAAAAUAAUUAAAUAUUUGCUAAAUUUUAUUUUCUGUCAUAUUCCUCAAGUACUUUCUCAAGGGAUCUUUGUAGUGAUUCAUUCAUAUCAUAUGACAUACUGACAAACGUUCAGGGCAAAUCUAGAAUAUGUGAAUGCUCCUGUAACUCUCUCCAGUCAAAAUUAUUAAUAUGCAGUAGAGCAUGGGUCAUAUACAGAAUUUAGACCUAGAAUGAAAAAUACUUGGUUCAUAGGCUUAGUUUUUUUAAUAUUAUUUUUUUAUUACAACCUUCCUUCUUCAGAUUAUUGGGUUUAUGCAAUUUAAUUUAUAAAAAGCUUUGCUUUUUAAAGGGUUUGUUUUCUCCAUGUAAUAUAUAAUGGAAUAUGUAGUAACAGUUUAUUGUAAUUCCCUUACAUUAUAUGUAUAUAAACAUAAGGAAUUAUCACUUUAAAGCUGAGGAGAUGUUUCAAGCAGCCAAAAAUACAACAUGUGAGGAACAACAGCCUCGAUGUAAAAUUAUGGUCCUUGAACCUGCACAUGAAACCAUCUGAUUGUGAAGAAGUCAGACACACCUUUGCAUCUGCCUGGAGCCAGUUGGUUCAGUCACACAACUUUCGAGGGGCUCUUGUGCUAAUACAGCAGCCUGUCCAUUAUUCCUUCUAUGUAUGUGGGCAUCCAUUCGGUUCUAGUUUUUCAUUAGAAAAUUAUAACUCUGGAAUGUAGGUCUUGAGAAUAGAUGAUGUAAUGGAUUAACUGGGCUGAAGUAGCAGCUGAAAGUCCAGGUGGCUUGAAGUGAGUGCUCUUGAUGAUUUGAAGUUUGUUUUCUAGCUACCUGUGUGAGACAGUCAUUAUUCACCUUCUGGAGAUCUACAGGAAACUCUUGAAGAUAUACAAGACAUUUUGAAUAGGCUUCAGAUUCCGAGGUCUGAACUACUUUGAAUAUCAAAAGUUUUUGAGGAAACAAUGAUUUUGGCAAAAGACUCUCAAACCUUUUCAAAGAAUCAAAGAUAUGCAAAUCUAGUAAAAAGGAAAUUAGUCCCAUAAACGUCCCUUUUUUCUUCCCUCACCCUCCCCAAAUUUUUAUUUACCUGAAAAAAUGUUAAAAUUUACCUGGAAUUCUGCUUUACAUCUCAGAAUUUGAGACACCACUGAUGAUUGCUUUUUUACACUAUAAAUGAAAUCCAUUGACCUUGAUAGGAAUCAACCCUCAUAAACUAUGAAAAAUAAUUUUUCCAAGACUGUGAUUUUGCUGUAAAUCAAAGCAAAGAAUUUCUGAAACCUUUUUUGCCUUUUUUUGCCUGGAAUAUUGGCUUCCAGAUAGCUUGGUUUCCAAGCUAGGUUAGGAGUACCUUUAGAAUUUUCUGUCAUAUGUAACUGAUGUGACACUGAGGAAUGAAAAAGAUGUGCAUCCUCAGCUACAUCAGAAGAUUUUGAUCAUGUUAAAAAUUAAUUUUUUUCCUAACAUAGAGAUUUACUAAGGACAUAGUUCUUUAAAUCUAGAGAUAUAUGAGAUUUAAUGCCUAGAUUCUGACAUUCAAAGAUAAAAAUGUCUCUUGCCAACAGGACUACAAGAUCUUGUUGCUAUUCCUGACCUUUCCUAGCACCUUACUACUAAGACUACACGAAUGAGGUAUAAAAUGUAUGGUUCAAUGAUUUGCCUAGGAGAAAGGCAAACCUGCUGAGUACAGUUGUUAGGAGAUGGGUGUAGUGUGAGCAGUCUUGCACACCUUAUCUCCCUCCUCUUUACAUCUCUAAAUGUAAAAAGAUUUCAAGUUUUCUACUUUGUUCUGAUAUCCACCAGUCUGAGCUGUGGCUCCUGAAUGUGGAUACGAGAGUUCUUUAUUUUCAUAAAGAAUUAUACCAGCCUCCUCAGUCCAUCAGUAAUUCCACCUGCUUGUCUCCUAGGCAAUCCCUAGUAUAUGACACUUAAAAUAUAAGAAGUGUAACAUGAAGUCUCAGUGGGGUAAGAUUAAAACUUUUGGUGCACUUUUCACAAGAGUGCCUUUGAGGACUGCUCUGUUGGAACAGUUUCUUCCAGUAUAUAAUAAUUAGACAAAGCAGGAGGAACCACUAGCAUGAAUUUGUAACAUUGAGACUGCUCAAUUUAUGGAAAAAACAUAUUUUUCAUGCUAUGCAGAGAAUAAUGUAGACAUAUCCAUUGAAGCACAAGCCAGUACCUAGAUGUAGUUCUUCCCAGGCAAGAGCCCUUGCACCUGGCAUAAAGAGUACUCCCAAUUCCUGCUUGCUUUUUUCAUUCAGAGAGACACAUUUAACUUUACUACACACAUAGUAGUUAUACAGUAAUAUUAUAAGUAUGGUAUUAUCUUUAUUUCUUGUGCUGUCUCAACAAGAGAAAUUGUCUUUGUCCCUCAAGUGCCUGGGAGAUAAUUGUGGAUAAACCUCCAAAAUUUUGGAUUAGAAGGAAUGAGCUUCCUAAAAUAUGCUAUGUUUUGCCAGACACAAUCUACUAGACUUACUUUAGAUAGGCCCUCUUAAUAAGACAAACGAAGAAAAGAUUUAUUUGCAAUGUUGAAUAGAAUUUAAAUGCCAGACCCCUAACCUUGUCAAAAUAAAGGAAAUCUUGGACAAAUAUAAAUUUCAUUCCUGAAGAUCUAAGGGCACAGAAGUUUUAAGUGACUGCAGAAUAGAGCAACAACAAGUCUAUUGGUUUUUAGGUUUGCAGUUCUUUAUCUGUCCACCUAAAAUGUGGGGUUGAUAUAAUACACAACUAAAUUGUUCUGUGGAUUUAAUUCUGUCUGAUCUCCAAAGUAUUAAUUGACCUGUAAGAGCUGUCUUGGUGAAUAAGACUCAUGCCCUUAAUAAACUUCAGACUGCAGCCUGAUAAAGCCCACAGGCCACAGAUUUUACAGCCUCUUUACACUCCUCUCACAAACUGGUUUUGAUAUCUUUCAAUAGGAAGAAGUAUGGAAUUGCCAAGUAACUGAUCUAAUAUUGAGUUCUCUCCAGUUAUGAUAAAUAAAAAACCCAAACCAAUAAUAUGCAGCUAUAUCUCUCAAAAUAUUUCUAGGUAAAAAUGUUUGCUCUUACUGAAGAAUGUGACGGAAACCCUCAAAGUCACUCUUCAUAUUCCCUACUGCUUCUGUCCAUCCCUUGCUUCUUUAUCUAGCCAUGUUUCUUUACCUGUCAUAUACUUUUGUGAUUUCAGAAAAAUUUAGAAUAUAUGGGACAAUUGCUAUUCACUGUAUUAGGUAUAACAUUAAAAAAAUUAUUCUUUCUAGCAGUCUCAAUAGUCGAGCAUACUAGCUAUUCUGUUUAUAGCAUGAACCUUCUCAUAUGAUGGGUGAUUUCUCUGUUUAUUAGCAGGUGAGUAUUUAUCAUUUAUUAUUUCUACCUGUACUUAUUAGUUACUUAAAAUAAAGAGGAUAACCUACUCAGUGGCUAAAGCAAAACCAAAGGUCACGAAAUAUAAAGAUCUUUUAAAAUAUUUGAAGGGUAUUUUGAAAUGUGUACACAUGUACAACCUUUGGAAAAUUUAAAAAUGUCACUUUUUAUUUAACUGAACCAUAACAGAUGUGCAUAGUUUUUGGAAAAAACUAUGCAAAUAUUUCAAAGCACAAUCACCAUAAGUUGAAUUUGGCAGAGUAGAACAGAUGUGUCCACCUGUUAAGAGAUUAGGCUAUCAGAUUUGGGUAUGCAAGAUGUGAUUGAAGCCCAUAGUGGGAGCUAUUUAGGAAUGCAUCCAGGUUAGCAGGAGGUAACAGAGAUUCUGAUUACUGUAGCAUUCUACUUUUCCCCAAAGCGAUCAACGACUUGAAUUAAGCAAACAGAAUAGUACACCCAGGACCACAGAAGGGAGAAUGAAUAUCCUACACUGUGUGAAAACAGUGCAGGAAUUAUACCUGUUUUUCAGUAACAAUGAAAGAGAAAGAGAACAGGUUUUACAGAGGCUGCAGAAUAAAGUGGACUCCAAAAAUAUUUAUUUAUUCUGUUUAAAUCUGCCAUCCUUAAAAGCAAGCACAGUUAUUGAUUCAACUACUACAGCAAAGUUAGUAAUUUUUUGAGGCACUUCAAUAAGCCGUAAGAAUAAUCAUCUCAAAGCAUACCCAAUGCACAGAAUAUCACAUUCAUUUUAAUGUGAAUUUUUUUCAUCCAGGACUGGAAAUUAAUUCUGCUUCCUUGUAUUUCUUAAUAAAGAACAGAACCACGUAGUAAAAGAGAUACAGAUCAAAGCCAGAUUUUAGGCAGCAAAAUGCAAAGAGAAUGAAACAGGUGUUGUGGUGGGUUUGGAUUUUCUUGAGGAAAGAAUAUUUUUGCAGUUGUUGCCAAAAAAAAAUCUUCUUUCUACUUGUGUUUUGCCAGCUCAUAUCUUCUGAGUGCUCCUGGUUACUUUAUACCUUUGGUACUCUCUUACUCUGUAGAUCUAUUAUUCUGCAGAAAAACUAUAGAUUUGUCCAACUUCUGGGGUAUUAAAUGAAGUUCUAAUUUGUUGUCAUUGUUGAUGACGAGGUGUGAAGCAGAAAAGACAUCAGUUGAUUUUCAAAUGCUGGCUUACUGAUAUAAAUGUUAAUAAUGAACACUCUGAUUUUGAUUUUCUAUGCCAAUAUUAAUUCUAUGUAGAUAUGAGUGAGAAAGUAUACAAAUGCCAAUAAAUUAUCAUUAUUAAUUCCAUUGUUCUUACUAUUUAAAUAUUUCCUUAUUAAGAUUGCUAUGGUUUGUGCUACUCAUCUGCAAAAGUCCAAACUAACUGACAUGGGAAAUCUGAAUGCUUACAGGUACCAAAAGCUUAAUUUUAUACAUGAUAAGAAAAGUACUUAGAAAUACUGUAUGACUAUGGCAGACCUGUCACGGAAGGAUCAGAAAUACAAGAAAAUCUCUGUGUUCUCAUAGUUAUGGCAAUUGUUUCAUUGAAAUCUAUUUUAUUGUAACUUUGGGACUGGAAAAGAACAUAAAGAGGUCAGACCAGGGUGUGGAAGUAAACAAAAUAAA